rnacentral:rRNA from 1 species
UACGUAGGUGACAAGCGUUGUCCGGAUUUACUGGGCGUAAAGAGCGCGCAGGCGGUCGUUCAAGUCGCGUGUGAAAGCCCCCGGCUCAACUGGGGAGGGUCACGCGAUACUGAUCGACUGGAAGGCAGGAGAGGGUAGUGGAAUUCCUGGUGUAGCGGUGAAAUGCGCAGAUAUCAGGAGGAACACCGGUGGCGAAGGCGGGACUCUGGGCCGAUACUGACACUGAGAGACGAAAGCUAGGGGAGCGAAUGGG